rnacentral:rRNA from 1 species
AACGAACGCUGGCGGCAGGCCUAACACAUGCAAGUCGAGCGGACCUUUCGGGGUCAGCGGCGGACGGGUGAGUAACGCGUGGGAAUAUGCCCUUCUCUACGGAAUAGUCCUGGGAAACUGGGGGUAAUACCGUAUACGCCCUUUGGGGGAAAGAUUUAUCGGGGAAGGAUUAGCCCGCGUUGGAUUAGGUAGUUGGUGGGGUAAUGGCCUACCAAGCCGACGAUCCAUAGCUGGUUUGAGAGGAUGAUCAGCCACACUGGGACUGGGACACGGCCCAGACCCCUACGGGAGGCAGCAGGGGGGAAUCUUAGACAAUGGGGGCAACCCUAAUCUAGCCAUGCCGGGGGAGUGAUGAAGGACUUAGGGUUGUAAAGCUCUUUAAGCGGGGAAGAUAAUGACGGUACCAGCAGAAGAAGCCCAGCCAAACUCCGU